UACAGAGGUCGCGAGCGUUAGGCGGAAUCACUGGGCUUAAAGCGUGUGUAGGCGGGGCGUUAAGUACCUUGUGAAAUCCCAUGGCUCAACCAUGGAACUGCUUGGUAUACUGGCGAUCUUGUGCAACCUAGGGGCGAGCGGAACAGAUGGUGGAGCGGUGAAAUGCGCAGAUAUCAGGAGGAACACCAAUAGCGAAGGCAGCUCGCUGGGACGUUACUGACACUGAGGCGCGAAAGCGUGGGGAGCGAACAGG
rnacentral:rRNA from 1 species